rnacentral:rRNA from 1 species
GUAAUAUAUCGGAACGUACCUAGAAGUGGGGGAUAACGCAGCGAAAGUUGCGCUAAUACCGCAUAUUCUCUAAGGAGGAAAGUGGGGGCUCGCAAGACUCAUGCUUUUAGAGCGGCCGAUAUCUGAUUAGCUAGUUGGUGAGGUAAAGGCUCACCAAGGCAUCGAUCAGUAGCUAGGUCUGAGAGGACGACCAGCCACACUGGAACUGAGACACGGUCCAGACUCCUACGGGAGGCAGCAGUGGGGAAUUUUGGACAAUGGGCGCAAGCCUGAUCCAGCAAUGCCGCGUGAGUGAAGAAGGCCUUCGGGUUGUAAAGCUCUUUUGUCAGGGAAGAAACGGUGAUCUCUAAUAUAGGUCACUAAUGACGGUACCUGAAGAAUAAGCACCGGUAACUACGUGCCAGCAGCCGCGGUAAAUACGUAGGGUGCAAGCGUUAAUCGGAAUUACUGGGCGUAAAGCGUGCGCAGGCGGUGUCGUCAAGUCAGAUGUGAAUCCCCGGGUCAACCUGGGAA